rnacentral:rRNA from 1 species
GAACUCCUGGCUCAGGACGAACGCUGGCGGCGUGCCUAAUACAUGCAAGUAGAACGCUGAAGAGAGGAGCUUGCUCUUCUUGGAUGAGUUGCGAACGGGUGAGUAACGCGUAGGUAACCUGCCUGGUAGCGGGGGAUAACUAUUGGAAACGAUAGCUAAUACCGCAUAAUAGUAGAUGUUGCAUGACAUUUGCUUAAAAGGUGCAAUUGCAUCACUACCAGAUGG